rnacentral:tmRNA from 1 species
GGGGAUGUUCUGGUUUUGACAGCAUCGAUUCCGGAUGGUAAGCACGUCGGGAGUAGGAGACUGGCCCGCUAAUCCCAGUCUUCAAGCCAUAACUGGCAACUACAACUACUCAUACGCUUGCUAGUUUCAUAGAAACUGAGCAUCAAUCAGAGCCGCCAAGGCUGCGGCACUGACGUAUAUCCCUCCAGCUUUAGGCCGGUUCAGUCUGGGUAAAGGGGUAUCAUCAAAACCGGAUGCGCGGGGCGGACGCCUCUAUGUCCCGUCAAGAUUCAGAGGAUAAGCUUCGGCUGGCCCGUCCUUCGGCAGGCCGGAGUCGACAACCAAAGGAGGAAUAAGCGUGUAGAAAGCUCUCUGGGGCGUUGUUUGGACGGCGGUUCGACUCCGCCCAUCUCCACUG